rnacentral:rRNA from 1 species
UACGAAGGGGGCGAGCGUUGUUCGGAAUUACUGGGCGUAAAGGGCGCGUAGGCGGCGACCCAAGUCAGAUGUGAAAGUCCUGGGCUUAACCUGGGGACUGCGUUUGAGACUGCAUUGCUAGAGUAUGGGAGAGGGAAGUGGAAUUUCCGGUGUAGCGGUGAAAUGCGUAGAUAUCGGAAGGAACAUCAGUGGUGAAAGCGACUUCCUGGACCAAUACUGACGCUCAUGUGCGAAAGCGUGGGGAGCAAACAGG